rnacentral:rRNA from 1 species
AGAGUUUGAUCAUGGCUCAGAUUGAACGCUGGCGGUAGGCUUAACACAUGCAAGUCGUGCGAGAAAGUAUCUUCGGAUAUGAGUAGAGCGGCGGACGGGUGAGUAACGCGUAGGAAUCUACCUAGUAGAAGGGGAUAGCCCGGGGAAACCCGGAUUAAUACCGUAUACCUCCUUCGGGAGAAAGAAGGCCUCUCUUUGAAGCUUUCGCUAUUAGAUGAGCCUGCGUAAGAUUAGCUUGUUGGUGAGGUAAAGGCUCACCAAGGCGACGAUCUUUAGCUGGUCUGAGAGGACGAUCAGCCACAUUGGGACUGAGACACGGCCCAGACUCCUACGGGAGGCAGCAGUGGGGAAUAUUGGACAAUGGGCGCAAGCCUGAUCCAGCCAUACCGCGUGUGUGAAGAAGGCCUUCGGGUUGUAAAGCACUUUAAGCAGGGAGAAAAAGUUAUAAGUUAAUACCUUAUAACCUUGAUGUUACCUGCAGAAUAAGCACCGGCUAAUUCCGUGCCAGCAGCCGCGGUAAUACGGAAGGUGCAAGCGUUAAUCGGAAUUACUGGGCGUAAAGCGCGCGUAGGUGGUUUGUUAAGUUGGAUGUGAAAGCCCUGGGCUCAACCUAGGAACUGCAUCCAAAACUAACUCACUAGAGUACGAUAGAGGGAGGUAGAAUUCAUAGUGUAGCGGUGGAAUGCGUAGAUAUUAUGAAGAAUACCAGUGGCGAAGGCGGCCUCCUGGAUCUGUACUGACACUG